GACGAACGCUGGCGGCGUGCUUAACACAUGCAAGUCGAACGGAAAGGCCCUGCUUUUGUGGGGUGCUCGUGUGGCGAACGGGUGAGUAACACGUGUGUAACCUGCCCUUGACUUUGGGAUAACUUCAGGAAACUGGGGCUAAUACCGGGUAGGAGCUCCUGCUGCAUGGUGGGGGUUGGAAAGUUUCGGCGGUUGGGGAUGGACUCGCGGCUUAUCAGCUUGUUGGUGGGGUAGUGGCUUACCAAGGCUUUGACGGGUAGCCGGCCUGAGAGGGUGACCGGCCACAUUGGGACUGAGAUACGGCCCAGACUCCUACGGGAGGCAGCAGUGGGGAAUAUUGCACAAUGGGCGGAAGCCUGAUGCAGCAACGCCGCGUGCGGGAUGACGGCCUUCGGGUUGUAAACCGCUUUCGCCUGUGACGAAGCGUGAGUGACGGUAAUGGGUAAAGAAGCACCGGCUAACUACGUG
rnacentral:rRNA from 1 species